AGAGUUUGAUCCUGGCUCAGAAUUGAACGCUGGCGGCAUGCCUAACACAUGCAAGUCGAACGGGAGUAGCAAUACUCUAGUGGCGGACGGGUGAGGAAUACGUAGGAAUUUGCCCUUAAGUGGGGGAUAACCCGGGGAAACCCGGAUUAAUACCGCAUGAUCUCGAAAAGAGCAAAGUGGGGGAUCGCAAGACCUCACGCUUUUGGAAAAAGCCUACGUCGGAUUAGCUAGUUGGUGAGGUAAUGGCUCACCAAGGCGACGAUCCGUAACUGGUCUGAGAGGAUGAUCAGUCACACCGGAACUGAGACACGGUCCGGACUCCUACGGGAGGCAGCAGUGGGGAAUAUUGGACAAUGGGCGCAAGCCUGAUCCAGCAAUGCCGCGUGUGUGAAGAAGGCCUUCGGGUUGUAAAGCACUUUAAGUUGGGAAGAAAAAAUU
rnacentral:rRNA from 1 species